rnacentral:rRNA from 1 species
AGAGUGAACGCUGGCGGCAGGCCUAAUACAUGCAAGUCGAACGGCAGCACGGCAGAGCUUGCUCUGUGGGUGGCGAGUGGCGGACGGGUGAGGAAUACAUGGGAAUCUGCCCAGUCGUGGGGGAUAACGUAUGGAAACGUACGCUAAUACCGCAUGCGCCCUUCGGGGGAAAGCCGGGGACCUUCGGGCCUGGCGCGAUUGGAUGGACGCCAGUGUCGGUAUUAGCUAGGUUGGGACGGGGUAACCGCCCAACGAAGGCGACGACUCCGUAGCGUGUCUGAGGAGAUGAUCGACGCCACACGUGGAACUGAGACGACGGUCCAGACCUCCGAGGGAGACAGACUAGGAAGGAAUAGU